rnacentral:rRNA from 1 species
CCUACGGGUGGCAGCAGUGAGGAAUAUUGGUCAAUGGGAGAGAUCCUGAACCAGCCAAGCCGCGUGAGGGAAGACGGCCCUAUGGGUUGUACACCUCUUUUGUCGGGGAACAAAACCCGGGACGUGUCCCGGACUGCGUGUAUCCGAAGACAAAGCAUCGGCUAACUCCGUGCCAGCAGCCGCGGUAAUACGGAGGAUGCGAGCGUUAUCCGGAUUUCUUGGGUGUAAAGGGAGCGUCGACGGCCGUGCAAGCUAGGAGUGAAAGCCCGGGGCCCAACCCCGGGACUGCUGUUGGAACUGUGCGGCUGGAGUGCGGGAGGGGCAGGCGGAAUGCCUGGUGUAGCGGUGAAAUGCGUAGAUAUCAGGAGGAACAGCGGCGGCGAAGGCGGCCUGCUGGACCGCGACUGACGUUGAGGCUCGAAAGCGUGGGGAGCGAACAGGAUUAGAUACCCCAGUAGUC